rnacentral:lncRNA from 1 species
GCCUUGCUCACGCUCUUCAAUAUGGAGACGUGGGAAUGGUCAGCAUCUCGGGCAGAGCCCCAGACACCCACUCUCUUUAUAGGACAUCACCCAGUGACCCUCUGCACCUCACACACAGUCCAGGGGAGACUCAGAGCAACUGUCCUAUAUUGACAGGGUCAAGCAGUUCCAAUGUGGGCAUGUGAACCAGGCAAAGCUGGUACAGGAGUCUCCCCUUUCCUGGGAUGAUGGGAAAGGGCAUUUAACCCUCAAGACUGUGAACCUAGAACCCUGACACCAGGCAUCACCACAUGGGACCUAAAAAUGAAGCCAGGCCAAGUGAAUGCUGGAAACAAGUCCAAGGCCCUGUCAAGCCAUGUCUGCAGCCUCACUGAGUCCUCUUCAUUAUCCCCAACAGUCCGUGGACCUAUUAGGCACCCACGGUCUAUGAUCUCAGCAAUUCUUACAUUCAAUAUUAGGAGGUCCUACUCAAGGGUGUCUUCUACUAGUUAUGUGGAGUUUGGUCUUUCCUGUGGCUGGUAUUGGGGACCCAUGAUCCCCAAGAAUGAACCCUCCUGCAUUUCAGAGAGGGGCAGAGGAGAGAGUGACCCCACAGAAACCGAGUCAACAACGUGAAGAUGUCUCCUCUGGCCGGUGCAGUCAGCCAGGCUGACAGAACCCGAGCGUCACGGGGCUGCCAUGAGCGCUCCCGCUCCAGGUCCAAGAGGGUGCUCUAGAGGAGGGGCAGAGGGCAGCAAGGCCAGACCAAGUGGGGGCUCCACCCCCGCACCAUUGAGCUGUCAGGACUUGAGCUCAGGAAGAGAGAGGACGCUGGGAGCAGUUGGAGCUUUGCCCAUGCUGGACGGGCUGGUGAGCAAAACAGACAGGCACAGAGGGGCCCAGCAGGCAGGACCUUGGCUCUCGGAGCUUUGCUCUCCGGAGGGGAGUCAGUGAAAGGGUGGAUGGAUCCGGGGUCUAUAGGGGGUUGGUGGAGGUGCAGAGCAGAGGCACUCGGGGGUGGGCAUGGCCUAGAGUAGGGACCAGAGGAGCCGGAUGCGCCCCCCGGCUGUGUGCAGCUUGCCCAUGGUGCCACAGAGAUCCUAUGGGGGCCACUGAAGGCCAAGAGGAGAGAGUGGAGCAAGGUGCAAUGAGGUCAGGGGGCCUGGGUGGUCAGACAACAGGCAGCACUGGCACUUUGCUCACGGCUCUGUGCCCUCCACAUUCGUACCCUCGGGAAGGUACAGCAGAGGACAUCGUGAGCUGAGCACCUGAAUGGGAAGUAGGGCAGGGGCCCCGAAGCCAGCCUGCAGCUGCCCUCUGCAGAGGGGGUGGGCAGUUCUGGUCUCCACCUUAGCUUUCAGAACAAAGUGAGGGCCAGCUCUGCCCACCAGCAGAGGCUAGUAAAAGCAGCAGCAGGAAUGCCAGGCAGGGGUGUGCCUGCUGGAGAACCGGAGGCCUCCUGCCUCUGACUGAGCUCGUAGGGCCUCUACUAGCAGGGUCCUCUCCAGCAACAGACCAAUAUGAGGAGAAGGCUGGCCAGUCCUCACUGCAGGUGAGUGGCCGGCUGGAGGACAGGUGUCCCUUCCUGCCUCUGGGGAAGCUCAGUCCUUUGGUCUGAUCCAGGGGACAAGGCCCAGCCACAGUAUGGGGGGCAGGCCACCACCGGGGCAGCAACUGGCCAGAGGAAUGGCAGAGCCCUGCUGGGAAGGGUAUCAGGUGGACAGGACAUGAGAGCAAUCAAUGGGGCCACUUCUGUGGCCACAGAAGAACCCCACAUGGAGACGGCCCAGGAUCACGAUGUUCCCUCGCAGUCGGGCGGCCAGGGAGCUGUGGGCCGCUGUGUGCAGCUCGGGCAGGG